AAUAUUCAGCUUUCUUUCCCCCCGAUAAUACCUCUGCAAACAAGCUAUACUAGAGCAAGAAUAUCUCAUAUCAUCAGGGUUAAAAGCAAGAGUAUCUCAUAUCAUGCUUUUUCCCUGUCUUUUCCUUUGGCCUUGUUCUUACCUGCAAGACAAGGAGAAAGAGAGCAAUCAGUCAGCACUUGGAAGCAAGCUUCCAGCCAGGAACUGACUGCCUGGAACCUCUUACCUGAUUACUUACCUGGCAUUGCUCUCGAGUACUCAUCUUCAACAUCUUAUGCUUCCAGGGAAGAUACCGCAUCUGCCUGAGGAACAGAUAAGGCAAGUGAGAAGGAUACAAGGAAGCAUGUGGAGACCAGCGUAACAACACACGUGCCGAUACAUCCACUACUCUAUCAAAAGCAAAAGUAUCCCAUAUCAGCAGGGUCGAACGUACUCUAGAUUUG
rnacentral:lncRNA from 1 species